GAUGAACGCUGGCGGCGUGCCUAAUACAUGCAAGUCGAGCGAACAGACGAGGAGCUUGCUCCUUUGACGUUAGCGGCGGACGGGUGAGUAACACGUGGGUAACCUACCUAUAAGACUGGGAUAACUUCGGGAAACCGGAGCUAAUACCGGAUAAUAUUUCGAACCGCAUGGUUCGAUAGUGAAAGAUGGCUCUGCUAUCACUUAUAGAUGGACCUGCGCCGUAUUAGCUAGUUGGUAAGGUAACGGCUUACCAAGGCAACGAUACGUAGCCGACCUGAGAGGGUGAUCGGCCACACUGGAACUGAGACACGGUCCAGACUCCUACGGGAGGCAGCAGUAGGGAAUCUUCCGCAAUGGGCGAAAGCCUGACGGAGCAACGCCGCGUGAGUGAUGAAGGUCUUCGGAUCGUAAAACUCUGUUAUUAGGGAAGAACAAACGUGUAAGUAACUGUGCACGUCUUGACGGUACCUAAUCAGAAAGCCAGGGCUAACUACGUG
rnacentral:rRNA from 1 species